UGUGCCAGCAGCCGCGGUAAUACGUAGGUGGCAAGCGUUAUCCGGAAUUAUUGGGCGUAAAGCGCGCGUAGGCGGUUUUUUAAGUCUGAUGUGAAAGCCCACGGCUCAACCGUGGAGGGUCAUUGGAAACUGGAAAACUUGAGUGCAGAAGAGGAAAGUGGAAUUCCAUGUGUAGCGGUGAAAUGCGCAGAGAUAUGGAGGAACACCAGUGGCGAAGGCGACUUUCUGGUCUGUAACUGACGCUGAUGUGCGAAAGCGUGGGGAUCAAACAGGAUUAGAUACCCUGGUAGUCCACGCCGUAAACGAUGAGUGCUAAGUGUUAGGGGGUUUCCGCCCCUUAGUGCUGCAGCUAACGCAUAAGCACU
rnacentral:rRNA from 1 species